rnacentral:rRNA from 1 species
AUUGAACGCUGGCGGCAGGCCUAACACAUGCCAGUCGAGCGGAUGAAGGGAGCUUGCUCCUGGAUUCAGCGGCGGACGGGUGAGUAAUGCCUAGGAAUCUGCCUGGUAGUGGGGGAUAACGUCCGGAAACGGGCGCUAAUACCGCAUACGUCCUGAUGGAGAAAGUGGGGGAUCUUCGGACCUCACGCUAUCAGAUGAGCCUAGGUCGGAUUAGCUAGUUGGUGGGGUAAAGGCCUACCAAGGCGACGAUCCGUAACUGGUCUGAGAGGAUGAUCAGUCACACUGGAACUGAGACACGGUCCAGACUCCUACGGGAGGCAGCAGUGGGGAAUAUUGGACAAUGGGCGAAAGCCUGAUCCAGCCAUGCCGCGUGUGUGAAGAAGGUCUUCGGAUUGUAAAGCACUUUAAGUUGGGAGGAAGGGCAGUAAGUUAAUACCUUGCUGUCUUGACGGUACCAACAGAAUAAGCACCGGCUAACUUCGUG